rnacentral:rRNA from 1 species
AGUGAACGCUGGCGGUAGGCCUAACACAUGCAAGUCGAACGGCAGCACAGUAAGAGCUUGCUCUUACGGGUGGCGAGUGGCGGACGGGUGAGGAAUACAUCGGAAUCUACUUUUUCGUGGGGGAUAACGUAGGGAAACUUACGCUAAUACCGCAUACGACCUACGGGUGAAAGCAGGGGAUCUUCGGACCUUGCGCGAUUGAAUGAGCCGAUGUCGGAUUAGCUAGUUGGCGGGGUAAAGGCCCACCAAGGCGACGAUCCGUAGCUGGUCUGAGAGGAUGAUCAGCCAAACUGGAACUGACACACGGUCCAAACCCCCAGGGGAGGCAGCAGUGGGGAAUAUUGGAAAAUGGGCGCAAGCCUGAUCCAGCCAUACCGUGGGGGUGAAGAAGGCCUUCGGGUUGUAAAGCCCUUUUGUUGGGAAAGAAAAGCAGCAGGUUAAUACCCCGUUGUUCUGACGGUACCCAAAGAAUAAGCACCGGCUAACUUCGU